GAUGAACGCUAGCGGCAGGCUUAAUACAUGCAAGUCGAGGGGCAGCAUGACUGUAGCAAUACAGUUGAUGGCGACCGGCAAACGGGUGCGGAACACGUACAGAACCUUCCUUCGAGCGGGGAAUAGCCCAGAGAAAUUUGGAUUAAUACCCCAUAGUACAACGAAGUGGCAUCACUUUGUUGUUAAAGAUUUAUCACUUGAAGAUGGCUGUGCGGCUGAUUAGGUAGUUGGCGGGGUAACGGCCCACCAAGCCUGCGAUCAGUAACUGGUGUGAGAGCACGACCAGUCACACGGGCACUGAGACACGGGCCCGACUCCUACGGGAGGCAGCAGUAAGGAAUAUUGGUCAAUGGACGAAAGUCUGAACCAGCCAUGCCGCGUGGAGGAUGAAGGUCCUCUGGAUUGUAAACUUCUUUUAUAUGGGACGAAAAAAGGGUUUUCUAACUCGUCUGACGGUACCAUAUGAAUAAGCACCGGCUAACUCCGUGCCAGCAGCCG
rnacentral:rRNA from 1 species